GGCGGACGGGUGAGUAACGCGUGAGUAACCUGCCUCUAAGAGGGGAAUAACAUUCUGAAAAGAAUGCUAAUACCGCAUAAUAUAUAUUUAUCGCAUGGUAGAUAUAUCAAAGAUUUAUCGCUUAGAGAUGGACUCGCGUCCGAUUAGUUAGUUGGUGAGGUAACGGCUCACCAAGACCGCGAUCGGUAGCCGGACUGAGAGGUUGAACGGCCACAUUGGGACUGAGACACGGCCCAGACUCC
rnacentral:rRNA from 1 species